GUUUGUGUGAAAGCAGAAUUAAUACAUUUCCUUUGUCAGAUCCAACAAAAGCUUGGUGUGAUGGGAGUCACCAUCACCAGGAGAUUCAGACAAACACUUUAUGUAGGACCCUGGACUACUCCUAUAUCCAAGAAACCCUGUGACCAUUAUAGGUGCAAGGUGUGUAUAACAUAUUUGUUUAUUGUUAAAUGUUUUGUGUGCUCUCCUGUCCUGCUGAUGCUUGUUACCAACUAUGUGGAUUUGGCUAG